rnacentral:rRNA from 1 species
UACGAAGGGGGGCUAGCGUUGUUCGGAAUCACUGGGCGUAAAGCGCACGUAGGCGGAUGUGCCAGUCAGGGGUGAAAUCCCGGAGCUCAACUCCGGAACUGCCUCUGAUACAGCACGUCUUGAGUUCGAGAGAGGUGGGUGGAAUUCCUAGUGUAGAGGUGAAAUUCGUAGAUAUUAGGAAGAACACCGGUGGCGAAGGCGGCCCACUGGCUCGA